UACGGAGGAUGCGAGCGUUAUCCGGAAUCAUUGGGUUUAAAGGGUGCGUAGGCUGGUAUUUAAGUCAGUGGUGAAAUUUUCGUGCUUAACAUGAGAGCUGCCAUUGAUACUGAGUACCUAGAGUGUAUUUGAUGUGGGCGGAAUGUGUUGUGUAGCGGUGAAAUGCUUAGAUAUGACACAGAACACCGAUAGCGAAGGCAGCUCACAAAGUUACAACUGACGCUGAUGCACGAAAGCGUGGGGAAUCAAACAGG
rnacentral:rRNA from 1 species